AGCAGCCGCGGUAAUUCCAGCUCCAAUAGCGUAUAUUAAAGUUGUUGCAGUUAAAAAGCUCGUAGUUGAAUUUCGGGGUUAGUAGGUUGGUCAUGCCACUGGUAUGUACUGAUCUUACUGAUUCCUCCUUCCUGAUGAACCGUAAUGCCAUUAAUUUGGUGUUGCGGGGAGACUGGACUGUUACUUUGAAAAAAUUAGAGUGUUUAAAGCAGGCUAACGCUUGAAUACAUUAGCAUGGAAUAAUGAAAUAGGACGUUCGAUCCUAUUUUGUUGGUUUCUAGGAUUGACGUAAUGAUUAAUAGGGAUAGUUGGGGGCAUUAGUAUUCAAUUGUCAGAGGUGAAAUUCUUGGAUUUAUUGAAGACUAACUACUGCGAAAGCAUUUGCCAAGGAUGUUUUCAUUAAUCAAGAACGAAAGUUAGGGGAUCGAAGGCGAUCAGAUACCGUCGUAGUCUUAACCAUAAACUAUGCCGACUAGGGAUCGGAUGAUGUUAAUUUUUUAAUGACUCAUUCGGCGCCUUA
rnacentral:rRNA from 1 species